rnacentral:lncRNA from 1 species
UAAAUAAAUAAAUAUGUACCAUUUUAGUCAAUAUACAAGCAAUUAGGACAAAAACGUUAAUAUUUGUUGACUGGUUAUAUAAGAAAGCGAGUAAUGCGUUUAAUUUCCAUUUUUUUAUUACGGUGAUCCAAGCUUAUUAAUGGCUCUUUGAAACCUUGUUGUAUUUUUGGAUACCUAAUUUUUCACAAGUCACUGAUGGGUUAAACAAUUUUUAAAGCAAUUUUUUUCAAUACGUAGAUUUUAUUUCUUCCUUAAUAUAUAAUAUUUAUUUUAUUUAACCUGCUAAAAUGAAUGCGUGUAUAUAAAAUGUUGCGAAGAAUUAGUCGGCGCUCAACUUUCUUGUGUUUUUUUCUAUCAACUGCAUUCGUGUUGACCAUAUUUUGUUCGUAUAUUGUAUACACCAGUUAUCGACUACAACACCCCAUGGCUAAGAUAUUUUUUUCACUUAUUGGUUCUUGUACUUAUUUGUGUCGCGUCUAAUGCCGACAGCAAGUUCUUGUAUCUUUGUUUGUAUAGUGUAAAUUUUAGGCCAAUAUUUUCGGUUUUGCAGCUCUGUCACUACUUCGCUAAUUUCACAAAAAAAGGAACUCGACAAAGAAAAAAUUACAGCGGCAUUUUCCUACGUUUUCACGCAUUUGUUGAGUCUAGUUUUGUAAAUGUAACCGUAUAUUGUAUAACUGUAUUGUGUAUAUUUUUCGUUUGAUUUUCUCUCCCUAUGAAUUUCGUUGCGUAUAACUUACAACAACAACACCCAUUAUUGGUUCAUUUUUGGAUGUGCGCCGUACCAAAUAGUAACCCAAAAGCAAAAGCAAAAACAUAAACAAAAACAAAAAAAAAUUAAAAAUAACGAUAUCAACACUGUUUUGUUUACCGAAAUGCCAAAUUACCAAACUUUUUCGUUUUUCUCAAAAUCAGUCAACCGUUAUAACCGUUAAUGAGUCAAAAAUAAACGCUCGGUUUGUAUUUGUAUUCUUCUAUUCAACUGAUUUAUUACUUAGAAGUACAUUUUGCAAAACAUUGUAUUGUAAUAUUUUUAAUUUAAUUCUGAUUUGUUUAUUUACAGGUGUUUGUGUGCUAAUUUUCACAGUAAAAAAAUAUAAAUAAAAAUAAAAAAUAUGUAUCCCAGAUUAUUUGAACUUCUUGAACGCCAACCGCUCACGUACAAAGUAUUUGAUUAUUAUUAUUAAUUAUCAUUGUAUUAUUAUAUUUUAGUAAACGAAAUUUUUAUUUAAAAAUUUAGUGUAUAAUUUUUGUAAGCAAUUGUAAGACUUGUUUAUAAUUUUUUUCUCUGUCAAUGAAGGUAUGAAAACAUUGCAAAGCAUUAAAACAAUAGCAAAAAUAAGACAAGCAUAACCAACCAUUCAUCUAUCACUUAUCGCCAACCUAACAACCAGAGAGUCGUGACGUUCAAUGUAGAGCCGAUAUUACCAAAAAAAAAAA